UUCCCUCUGCUUCUGGUCCUUAACCACCCAAAGCUGCUAAGAUAUUUUCAAUUGAAACUUUCAUUUUUAUAUUUUAUUCCAUUUUUUCCGGUUUGUUCUUAAAAGUUCUUAUUGCGUGGUGGCAGCAAGAAGAGAGCAAGAAGGGUACAACUUCAAAUUUAGACCAAGAAGUGCCAAAAGCACCAGAUCUAUAGUAACGUUUGUGAUGCUUCUCAGCAGCUUGACUUUGUGCGAAUACACAAUGAUUGGUACAAAUGCUAAAGGAGAUUGGCUUGUUAUGAAAACGAAUGAUUUUCGACUUGGACGCCAACCGAUUCAAAAGACCAUUCUUCUCAAGCUUGGUAAUUUUCCAAACAUUGCAGAAAUGUUAAGUGCACUUUGACUCUCUGUCAUUGUCCAUUGUAUGUGGACAUCCUUUUUUUGUCUGAGCUAGAUAUUUGUUAUUGUUCACUAUUUCAGAUUGAAUUCCUAAGCUUCAAAUAUAUGUGAUGUAGCUUGGAUGCUUGAUUUAUGUGAUUGUAAAGUAAAAUAUUUCGCUCUUUAUUUCCCUAAGCACUGGACUUCUUUUGUUUUUGCAACUUUAAUGUUUGGGAGGUAUGAUUUAC